UCCUCGUUGACCGAGGCAGUCUCGCGUGAAAUAUCCAACACACGACAAGGGUUGCGCUCGUUGCGGGACUUAACCCAACAUCUCACGACACGAGCUGACGACGGCCAUGCAUCACCUGUCACCAGUCCAGCCGGACUGACUCCCCGAUUUCUCGGGGAUACGACUGGGAUGUCAAGCCCUGGUAAGGUUCUUCGCUUAGCGUCGAAUUAAACCACACGCUCCACCGCUUGUGCGGGUCCCCGUCAAUUCCUUUGAGUUUUAAGCUUGCGCUCGUACUCCCCAGGCGGGGUGCUUAACGCGUUAGCUUCGAUACCCAGGGGGUCUAUGCCCCGAAUACCUAGCACCCAUCGUUUACGGCGUGGACUAC
rnacentral:misc_RNA from 1 species